rnacentral:rRNA from 1 species
GGUUUAUACCCGCAUACUUUGACGUUACUCCCCGAAGAAACACCGGCUAAAUUCGUGCCAGCAGCCGCGGUAAUUCGGAGGGGGCCAGCGUUUAUUGGAAUUAAUUGGCGUAAAACGCGCGUAGGUGGGUAGGUCAGUCAGAUGUGAAAACCCCGGGCUCAACCUGGGAAAUGCACCUGAUACUGCCUGACUUGAGUGCGGUAGAGGGUAGUGGAAUUUCUUGUGUAGGGGGGAAAUGAGUAGAUAUAGGAAGGAACGCCAGUGGCGAAGGCGGGUGCCUGGAUUGAUUCUGACCCUGAGGUGGGAAAGCGUGGGGGGCAAACCGGAUUAGAUACCCUGGUAGUUCCCCCCGUAAACGAUGUUGACUAGCCGUUGAGGACUUAGAUCUUUCAGUGGCGCAGCUAACCUACAAG